GACGAACGCUGGCGGCGUGCCUAAUACAUGCAAGUAGAACGCUGAAGCGAGGAGCUUGCUCUUCUUGGAUGAGUUGCGAACGGGUGAGUAACGCGUAGGUAACCCGCCUUGUAGCGGGGGAUAACUAUUGGAAACGAUAGCUAAUACCGCAUAACAAUGGAUGACACAUGUCAUUUAUUUGAAAGGGGCAAUUGCUCCACUACAAGAUGGACCUGCGUUGUAUUAGCUAGUAGGUGAGGUAAUGGCUCACCUAGGCGACGAUACAUAGCCGACCUGAGAGGGUGAUCGGCCACACUGGGACUGAGACACGGCCCAGACGCCUACGGGAGGCAGCAGUAGGGAAUCUUCGGCAAUGGGGGCAACCCUGACCGAGCAACGCCGCGUGAGUGAAGAAGGUUUUCGGAUCGUAAAGCUCGGUUGUAAGUCAAGAACGGGUGUGAGAGUGGAAAGUUCACACUGUGACGGUAGCUUACCAGAAAGGGACGGCUAACUACGUG
rnacentral:rRNA from 1 species